UACGAAGGGGGCUAGCGUUGUUCGGAAUUACUGGGCGUAAAGCGCGUGUAGGCGGGGCUUUAAGUCAGGGGUGAAAUGCCAAGGCUCAACCUUGGAACUGCCUUUGAUACUGGAGAUCUUGAGUCCGGGAGAGGUGAGUGGAACUGCGAGUGUAGAGGUGAAAUUCGUAGAUAUUCGCAAGAACACCAGUGGCGAAGGCGGCUCACUGGCCCGGUACUGACGCUGAGGUGCGAAAGCGUGGGGAGCAAACAGG
rnacentral:rRNA from 1 species